GCCAUGCAUGUCUCAGAAUAAGUAUUACACUGCGAAUCUGCGAAUGGCUCAUUAAAACAGUUCUAGUUUAUUCGAUGGUGAAAAGUUAUUUGGAUAACUGCGGGAAUUCUGGAGCUAAUACAUGCACAAAAACGCGACUUCUUGGAAGCGUUGUAUUUAUUAGGUACAAAACCAGUCCCUUUUGGGUUUUUUGAUGAUUCAUAAUAAACGUACGCAGCUCAUGACUUGUGUCGGAGCGAAGUCGUUCAAGGUUCUGACCUAUCAGCUUCGAUGGUAGAGUAUUGGUCUACCAUGGCAGUGACGGGUAACGGAGAAUUAGGGUUCGAUUCCGGAGAGGGAGCCCGAGAAACGGCUACCACAUCUNAGGAAGGCAGCAGGCGCGCAAAUUACCCAAUCCUGAUACAGGGAGGUAGUGACAAGAAAUAACAAAGUAAGCCAUAUUUGUGGUUUUACUAUUGGAAUGAGUAGAAUAUAAAAUGCUUUACGACUAACAAUUGGAGGGCAAGUCUGGUGCCAGCAGCCGCGGUAAUUCCAGCUCCAAUAGCGUAUAUNAAAGUUGUUGCGGUUAAAAAGCUCGUAGUUGGAUUUCUGCUUCGAGAACCUGGUCCCGUUCUUAACGGAGAAUCUAGUGUUAUCGAGGCAUCCACUCGAAAACUGUAUUUGUGCUUGAUUGCAUGGUGCAGAGUUCGAGUCAUUUACUUUGAGGAAAUUAGAGUGUUCAUAGCAAGCUAUCGCUUUGAAUAUCGUAGCAUGGAAUAAUAAGAUAAGACUGAGUUUUUAUUUUAUUGGUUUCUAAGAAUUCAGUAAUGGUAAAUAGGAUUUGUCGGGGGUACUAGUAUUAACGCGUCAGAGGUGGAAUUCUUGGAUUGCGUUACGACUAACUACUGCGAAAGCAUUUACCAAGGAUGUUUUCAUUGAUCAAGAACGAAAGUU
rnacentral:rRNA from 1 species